rnacentral:sRNA from 1 species
UAAUCGUUUCGUGUUCUUCGUGCCUCGU